AUGCCUUUUUUCUCCACUCUCAUUGGAUAUUUUACCCUUUUGACGGAUACCCAUUUGGGCUGCCAAAAAGCAAAUUUAUAUGCUAAUUCACCUAAUUAUCCCUAAACCCCACGCAUUAAGUUUUUAGUUUUCUGGGAGCAAAAGAAGCUUGUGAAAAGUUUCCAUCUUUUUGCUUAACUGAGCUAAUUGCACAGAUCUGUAAACUUGGUACCUCUUCUUUUGAAGAUUAAACCUGAUUUUGUGAAGCAGGUUUCUUUUUUUUUUUUUUUCUUAUAAAAAGUUCAUAUCCACAGUUCUGGAUUUUUCUGGUGCUAUUAAGCAAAGUUGUUCCAGUUGUUUCUACUCUUACGUAAAGAACAAUUAGGUUUCAGUGCAAAUAGCUUCAUUUUGAUUUCUGCCUGAAUCUAUGGAUCUGUAGGCUUCCAGCACCCACUCCCCCCUCUCUCUCUUCUUUUUUUUUUUCCUGAAAAUAGAGCUAGCUCUGUGGUUGGGCAUUGUUUGUUGAAGCAGAG
rnacentral:misc_RNA from 1 species